AGAGAUGCCGCACCUUUAUGAGAAUAAGAGAGAAGGAAAAAAAAACACAUUUAUUAAUUGAUAUUCACAAUAAAAAUAAUUUUCUCCGUUUAUUUAAUAUAUAUUAUGAUGCAUAAAAAAGAAAGAAAAAAAUGGA
rnacentral:ribozyme from 13 species